AUAAGAACCGGCAAAGAGGAAAAGCGUUUUCUAUUACGUAAACCGGUUGGAUCUUCCAUUGAGUAACGAGUUACGAAACACGUCGGACAAAGAAAAUUUCUCUUGGAGCUUUCGUAUCCUUGCCUGUGAGAAUAUCGUGUCCUCCGUCGUUCUACGGAAAGUUAAACAGCCAAUUCCGGUUUGACUGGCCAUUAUACGCGUACGAAUUAAUACUCGCGAUCGUAAAUUAUCGGCCGGUCACGAGUUUGCACGACGCUGAUUUAACGGACGACUCCCGGCUACCGGCCGGUGUGUGCAUCUUCUUUUAGCGUGGUUCGCGUGUGUCGUAAUUUAUCUUCGAACGAUCUCCGCGAAAUUUAGUGGGACUUUGCCGUCUACGCGAGGAAAACAUAUUCUAAAAUUGAUAUCGCUUGGGUCAGUGAAUAGUAAAUACUAGUUACAUACAAUGACAUACCAUCGUUAAUCGGUGUGAGUAAAUGUGGAUCGAAAUGAAAAGUGAAUGGCGACAUGUAAUUUGGACGAAGCGGAGGAAGAACGAAGGGAAAAGAAGGGAGGACAGUCUCACGGAGGAAGUCGUUUGCGGUCGAAUGAAUCGGACCUUGAAGAGAUAGGCAGAGUCGUGGAUCGAGACAGCACGGUUCAAAGGAGUCCGGCAAGAGGAUCUCCUUUAGGGGAUACCGUUCGACCACCGAGCCAGUAACGAGAUUUCGCUUCGUGGAACUCGAUAAAAUAAGACCGGAUCGUGAUGUUCCGUACAUCUGUACUACUUGCGUCUUGUAAUUAUUACAGUGUAAGUCAUCAACGAUGUGAUAGCUUCUUGCUAAGGCUGUUCACCCCUGAAGCCAGCGAAUUAAUUCCGGCGAUGACAUCGACGCACCCCCGGACUCUGUAAUAAAAUCGUAGUUCGACGGUCUUCAAUGACCCAUUGAGUAUAUGAAAAGGAAAGUUGAACAUGUCUGAAAUUGGACAUUGGAGGUGUACAAUGGGAAGUAAAGAGUUUAAUGACGCCUACACGUGUUCCGGUUUAUCAAUGAGCACGCAGGUCAUCUAUGAGGAAGGUUGUUCAGAAACAAAGUAAAUAUAGAAGCCGAGUUCAUGGAAAGUUCACGGUAGCAUUAAUGGAGUGCAGGUCAGUAAACAUUCGCAGGGACACUUAAUGCCAGGGCUUGGUAUCGAUUACCAUUACCGAAGAUGGCUCGUGGUAAUAAUUAAGCCGAGUGAAUCGAUGCGACGUCGUUAGCCUCGGUAUUACCUGAAUUAUUACGGGGUCGUUGGAUCAUCGGUCAGGUGUGGCAAACCGAGGCAAACACGUUUCGCGAAGGUCGCUAGACGAAAGGUUAAAACGCGUGCGUGGUUUAAAAUAGUAAAAUAAGAUCGACCUUUGCUAGUCUUCCUGUUCCGACCCUCGACAGUAACAAUCGAUGGGACGAUGGUAUUUUUAGAUUACGUGUAAAGAUUCAAACAAGUUAAAACUGAGGAGUAAAGAAUUUCUAGCUACAGAGUGGAACGUAUCUGUGAAUUUGAAAAGUAAAUUAGGAUAACAAUGGCCCGCGAUCGUCGGAGCGUGUGUGCACUCUUCCAGGUCAGGGUUCACGCCCGACCGAGCCCCAACCGGAGAGAAAAACGGGAUUCGUGUAUUACAUAGACCUCGUGUAAAAUCGUCGAAAAGUCCUGAUUAAAUCUCACCAUUGCACGAAUUUGUUAAUU